GAUGAAGAACGUAGCGAAAUGCGAUAAGUAGUGUGAAUUGCAGAAUUCCGUGAAUCAUCGAAUCUUUGAACGCACAUUGCGCCUUCUGGUAUUCCGGAAGGCAUGCCUGUUCGAGAGUCAUUAACAACCGUUUCGAUCCCUUUCUUUCAGAAAUUACAAAGAGGAAAAGGGUUUGGUUAUGGUGGAGGAGGGAAAGGGAGCGUUUAGCCUGUAAAAAAAGAGGCUGUGUUCCGCCUCCCCCACAAAAUUGUACAGGCGGUCGUGUGCGCCCACGCAUCGAGGUGUUGUAAAAGCUGCCACGGCACUUUUCACCUGUGCAGUGCGAGAUUGGCCAGCCGGUUUAAAAACCCCUCCAAACAAUCAAAGGUUGACCUCGGAUCAGGUAGGGAUACCUGCUGAACUUAAGCAUAUCAAUAAGCGGAGGA
rnacentral:misc_RNA from 1 species